rnacentral:rRNA from 1 species
GAUGUACGCUGGCGGCGUGCCUAAUACAUGCAAGUCGAGCGAACAGACGAGGAGCUUGCUCCUCUGACGUUAGCGGCGGACGGGUGAGUACCACGUGGAUAACCUACCUAUAAGACUGGGAUAACUUCGGGAAACCGGAGCUAAUACCGGAUAAUAUAUUGAACCGCAUGGUUCAAUAGUGAAAGACGGUUUUGCUGUCACUUAUAGAUGGAUCCGCGCCGCAUUAGCUAGUUGGUAAGGUAACGGCUUACCAAGGCAACGAUGCGUAGCCGACCUGAGAGGGUGAUCGGCCACACUGGAACUGAGACACGGUCCAGACUCCUACGGGAGGCAGCAGUAGGGAAUCUUCCGCAAUGGGCGAAAGCCUGACGGAGCAACGCCGCGUGAGUGAUGAAGGUCUUCGGAUCGUAAAACUCUGUUAUUAGGGAAGAACAAAUGUGUAAGUAACUAUGCACGUCUUGACGGUACCUAAUCAGAAAGCCACGGCUAACUACGUG